CACCUACGGGGGGCAGCAGUGAGGAAUAUUGGUCAAUGGGCGGUAGCCUGAACCAGCCAAGUAGCGUGAAGGAUGAAGGUUCUAUGGAUUGUAAACUUCUUUUAUAAAGGAAUAAAGUGAGGCACGUGUGCCUUUUUGUAUGUACUUUAUGAAUAAGGAUCGGCUAACUCCGUGCCAGCAGCCGCGGUAAUACGGAGGAUCCGAGCGUUAUCCGGAUUUAUUGGGUUUAAAGGGAGCGUAGAUGGGUUGUUAAGUCAGAUGUGAAAUCCUGUAGCUUAACUACAGAACUGCAUUUGAAACUGAUC
rnacentral:rRNA from 1 species